rnacentral:rRNA from 1 species
UAAACAAUUAACUUACACCAACCAGCGCCAGGGAACUACGAGCAAUGCUUAAAACCCAAAGGACUUGACGGUGUCCCACCCACCUAGAGGAGCCUGUUCUAUAAUCGAUGAUCCCCGCUAUACCUAACCAUUCCUCGCUUUUUCAGUCUGUAUACCUCCGUCGAAAGCCUACCAUGUGAACGCUUAUAGUAGGCCCAAUGAUUAUCAUCAACACGUCAGGUCAAGGUGCAGCUCACGGAACGGAAAGCAAUGGGCUACAAUUUCUAAUUUAGAACAUACGAAAGACUAUGUGAAACCCUAGUCACGAAGGCGGAUUUAGUAGUAAAAGGAAAAUAGAGUGUUCCUUUUAACCUGGCUCUGGGACGCGUACACA